UACGGAGGGGGGUAGCGUUGUUCGGAAUUACUGGGCGUAAAGCGCACGUAGGCGGCUUUGUAAGUUAGAGGUGAAAGCCCGGGGCUCAACUCCGGAAUUGCCUUUAAGACUGCAUCGCUUGAACGUCGGAGAGGUGAGUGGAAUUCCGAGUGUAGAGGUGAAAUUCGUAGAUAUUCGGAAGAACACCAGUGGCGAAGGCGACUCACUGGACGACUGUUGACGCUGAGGUGCGAAAGCUAGGGUAGCAAACGGG
rnacentral:rRNA from 1 species